rnacentral:rRNA from 1 species
ACUGAAACAUCUAAGUACCCGGAGGAAAAGAAAUCAAACGAGAUGCCCACAGUAGCGGCGAGCGAAGAGGGCAGAGCCCAAACCUGUAAGCUACGGCUUAUGGGGGUUGAGGACUGACGCAAUUAAGGCCAGGCUUAGCUGAACUACCUGGGAAGGUAGGCGAUAUAAGGUAAGAGCCCUGUAAGCGAAAAGCAGAGCCUUAAGGUCAGUAUCCAGAGUACCACGGAGCACGAGGAAUUCUGUGGGAAGCAGGGGGGACCACCCUCCAAGGCUAAAGACUAACUGGCGACCGAUAGCGCAUAGUACCGUGAGGGAAAGGUGAAAAGAACCCCGGGAGGGGAGUGAAAUAGUACCUGAAACCGUAUGUCUACAAGCAGUCGGAGCGAAAGCGACGGCGUGCCUAUUGAAGAAUGAACCAACGAGUUAUCUGCACUAGCGAGGUUAAGUGGAAGACACGGAGCCGUAGCGAAAGCGAGUCUGAAAAGGGCGGAUAGUUAGUGUAGGUAGACCCGAAACCGCAGUGAUCUACCCAUGUCCAGGUUGAAGCGCAGGUAAAAAUGCGUGGAGGACCGAACCGGUGAGCGUUGAAAAGCUUUCGGAUGAGAUGUGGGUAGGGGUGAAAUUCCAAUCGAACGCGGAGAUAGCUGGUUCUCCCCGAAAUAGCUUUAGGGCUAGCCUCAGGUAGUAAGUAUAGGCGGUAGAGCACUGAUCGGGCUAGGGGCCAUAAAGGUUACCGAACCCUGUCAAACUCCGAAUGGAUAUACUGCAGAGCCUGGGAGUCAGACUACGAGUGAUAAGAUCCGUGGUCAAAAGGGAAACAGCCCAGACCACCGGCUAAGGUCCCAAAUGCCGUACUAAGUGGAAAAGGAUGUGGGGAUUCAUAAACAACCAGGAUGUUGGCUCAGAAGCAGCCACCAUUUAAAGAGUGCGUAAUAGCUCACUGGUCGAGAGUCCCUGCGCCGAAAAUUUCCGGGGCUAAAGUACGGAACCGAAGCCGUGGCUGUGCAUGUAAGUGCACGGGGUAGGGGAGCGUUGCCACAGGGGUGAAGCUGGUCUGGAAGGACUGGUGGACUUGUGGGAAGUGAGAAUGUUGGUAUGAGUAGCGAAAAGAAAGGUGAGAAUCCUUUCCACCGAAAGCAUAAGGAUUCCUGAGCAACGAUCGUCGUCUCAGGGUAAGUCGGGACCUAAUCCGAGGCAAAGAGCGUAGGAGAUGGACAACAGGUUGAUAUUCCUGUACCGGCAGCAAUUGUUUGAGCGAAGGAGUGACACAGAAGGGCAGGCAGGCGCGAGACUGGAUUGUCGCGUGCAAGCGUGUAGGGUAGUGUACAGGCAAAUCCGUACACUGAGAGCCUGAGGCGUUACGCGGAGCGAGCAGAGAUGCGAGCGAAGCUGCUGAUCCCACACUGUCGAGAAAAGCUUCUAGUGAGAGAGCUGCCGCCCGUACCGUAAACCGACACAGGUAUGCGGGGAGAGAAUCCUAAGGUGCGCGGGAGAACCCUCGUUAAGGAACUCGGCAAAAUGUACCCGUAACUUCGGGAUAAGGGUAGCCGUCUUGGUGAAGGAGCUUGCCUCCGGAGCUGAAGGCGGUCGCAGAGAAGAGGCCCAAGCGACUGUUUACCACAAACACAGGUGCCUGCUAAAGCGAAAGCUGACGUAUAGGUGCUGACACCUGCCCAGUGCUGGAAGGUUAAGGAAGGAUGUCCGGGCAACCAAAGCAUUCGACCGAAGCCCCAGUGAACGGCGGCCGUAACUAUAACGGUCCUAAGGUAGCGAAAUUCCUUGUCGGGUAAGUUCCGACCCGCACGAAAGGUGUAACGAUUUGGGCACUGUCUCAACGAGGGACCCGGUGAAAUUGAAAUACCUGUGAAGAUGCAGGUUACCCGCGACUGGACAGAAAGACCCCAUGGAGCUUUACUGUAACCUGACAUUGGGUUUUGUUGUAUUACGUACAGGAUAGGUGGGAGGCUUGGAAGGCUGGACGCUAGUCUGGCUGGAGCCGGCGUUGGGAUACCACCCUUGAUACAACGGAAUUCUAACCGAGAGAGUAACGAAAUCCGGGACAGUGUCAGGCGGGCAGUUUGACUGGGGCGGUCGCC